rnacentral:misc_RNA from 1 species
GAACAAAUUAAUAGGAAGCAACUGCAAAGCAAGCUUCCUUUCCAACUGUGUGUCGAUGAUAUGUAUAUGUAUAUGUAUAUACAAGGUGGACUACUUUUGCUGGAAAAUGAGUUAAGAUGAUAUUCAGCCAAACAUUGAUUAGAUUGCGGAAUCUCAAUGUUUGCGGAAUUAGAUUCGAACACCAACCCAACCUUAAAAAAAUAUUUUAAUUUUUUAAUUUUUAUGUUUUCUUACUAAUAAAAUUACAUGUGCUUGAGAUAUAUGCAAAUUGAUGAUCACAAGAUUUUCGCUAUAAUUUAAAAAAAAAGAAAGAACCCUUCAGUUUGUGCAGCUUUCAAAGCUACAUUGGAGGCUAAGCAAGUAGAUCGUCAAAGACUAAUUAAUUAUGUGAUAAAUUUUCAGAUGGGAUAAUUUUUUUUCUACUUAAGAUAUAGUGAAUUUAUUGUUGCUGUAUGAGAAUUAAUUUAAGAUUUGGAUCAAAUUUUUGAUUUUACAAGUGUUGCUAUUUGUGCAGAAUUAAUUAAUUAAUGCUGUUAUACAUUGUAAAUUUUGACGGUGAAAUCAUGUCUAGAGACUAUUUUCAAGCUUGAAUUAGCCAUAGAAAUUAAGAAGAAACUAAGAAAAAUUUCGAAAUUAAUUCAAUGCAAUGAAAGGAAGCAACCAAUUUGACUUGAAGCGUAUAUUUACUUAAUUUUAGAUAUGGAGUUAUUCAAGAUCCCUGUCAGAUGUACCUCUCUUUGUUCAUGUUAGUAGUAUGUUUCUUUGUUUAUAUGCUCCUCGAUGCACGUGGAAAUUCUCAUGUGCUGGAUUAUAUAUGUGUUUCUCUCCCUCCAUUUCCCAGGCGACAGCUAGAAGGCAGCAAGAGAAAAGAACUCAGAAACUGAAAAAAAUAGAACUCAGAAACUAAAAAAAAAAAUCUACUUCAGGAAGCCUCUGCAUCCUUGGGAAAUAACCUGUGGUAGAUCAGUGGACAAACAGGAGAAGAGAAGUAGCCUUUUGAGAAAGCAACAGCAAAGUACUUUAGGUUGAAAGUUUAUAGAAAAAUUGAUCCUUUAAGAAUUUGGAAAAUUGAACUUAAGUUGCGUAGGUCAAUACUCAAUAGCAAUGGGAAGUGGAAAGAAGAAAAUGACCUAGGUUGGGAAAGAAUGUGCGCAGGUUCACUUUUCUAGCGUAUUAGAAUAUUUAAUUAUUUAUCAUCAACUAAAAACUCUGAUUCUUGUGGAAUGCUCAGUGGUCACAUCUGCGACAAUCCCAGACGGCUUCCCUCUUCUUUUCUUCUUCCUGGGAAAGGCCCGAGUUUUGAAGCCAUACAUUAACUAGCAAAUAGGAGCAACUUGAGUCCAUCCUUCUGCUGAUCUUGAAGUGAAAAACCAUGGCUAUGGAAGAUGCAUAAAGGGGGACUAAGGGAGAACAAUCAGAGAGAGAAUUACUAAGUAGGAAUCUCCAUUACUUAAUAGUGUUGCUUACAAAGGAAGCUUAUUUAAGCGGCAAUAUCAGAACACUUGUUUAUUAGUUGAACACCAAGUAGCUCUACUAGAGCCACUCAUGAGUAGCAAACAAGAGAAAAGGAACUUCAAAAAUCAUCUGAGGAAGCUUUGCUGGACCAGGCAAAUAGCUCAUAGACAAAACCAUUCUCCAUGGAUAUAGAUUUCACACUGCUGUCCCAUGAUACUUCCUUGCAGCCUCCCUACUGUCAAUGGUGGUCUUGUAAUUCUCAUCCGUUGUAUAAGGUCUUGAUGCAAAAUUGAACUUACCAUAUCUCUUUGAAGCUUCCCUGCUGUCAAUGGUUUCAGUGAAGCCUGGCUCAGUAUACCGGGAGUUAGGAGCAGUAUGGACAGAAGGCUUGGCAGCUUCUUUCAGAAUUCCAAUGGCUGCAUUGAUAUCACUUGUAGGUUCGGAGAGUUUGGACUCAGGUGGUGAGGUCCAUGUUGUAGGACUUGGCCUGACCCACCCGCCGCUGGUGAUCAUGGGAGGCUCAACUGGGGUAGCUUCCUUUCUGUCAAUGGUUUCUGUAUAGGCUGGUUCUGUAUACCUGAAACGGGGAGCAGUAGUGGUAGAAGGUUUGGCAGAUUCCUUGAAGAAUCCUGUGGCAGGGUUGACAUCGCUUGUUGGCUUGGAGAAGGUGGAAUUGGGAGUUGUACCCAAUGUUGAAUGACUAGGCCUAGGCCAUCCACCGGUGGUGACCUUUGCUGGUUCCACGGCGCCACCCUGCUUGUUGAAGUAAUCAUCAUAGCUGUCACUUCGGUAUGCAUUACCACUGGGCUUCUGCCAUUCCUUGUUGCCGUAAUCAUUGAACUCGCUAUUAUAGCCACCGUUAUUACCGGGAAAGCCUGUGGGUUUAAGGGUCUGACGCCAAUUUGCUGGAUUCACUGUGCCAAACCUGGGUCUGCUGGCCUCAAUUUGCACUUUGGUGAUGAAAUCAUCGACCUUUGAUGGGCGAUCCUGAGAUGGACUUGAAGAACUGUGCCACCUUUCUUCAACAACUCCACAACCCUCCAGUGGACUGCAAGAAUUAUGAUGGUGUUCUGAGGCAAAGGGUGAAAUAACGUGUUCUUGAACGAUUGUUUCAGUUCUUGUAACAAAGAAAUCUGAGUUCUGAGCUGGACCAAAAGAAACAAUUGGCCUUUUCCUUCCUUCAGCAUCGACGAUGACUGGCCGGCAGACAUGAUCAGAGGCAUAGCUUGUUUUGCUCCAAUCAUCAGCUCGUGGUGAAUUGUAGGCAGAAGAACUUCUGUGCGGAUAAUUAUACCCAGCCAUCACUUAGCCUUCCUUCUCUAAAGCCCUCUACUAGUAUAGCACUUCCUUUUCUUGCUUAUGAAAGAUUUUAACAAUUUGCUCAUAUAUAUAUAGGAAAAUUGUGUUCUCCUACCAUCAAAUGAAGGUGAUGGAACAUUCAACUCUAUUGCGUGUAAAAGGAUCAUAUGCUGCUUUUAGCUCACGCUUUGAGAUUCUCUUGAAGUUCUUUCUAUGUAGAAUCAUAUUCUCAAUGUUGAUGAUCGUGACUUCCAAUGCUUCCCUAGAGUUGGAAAACUCAUUUUGG